AUUGCAAAUUAUUCAGUUGCCAGAAUUCCUUUCUAGAACAAAGUGGAACAGAAAUGCAUAAACAGGCCUCUGGGUCACCUCAGACAAAGACUGGUGUUCAGGGCAGCAUCAAGUCACCGACUUCCCUCAAAGGAGAAGCAGCAAGCUGGCGUGGGACUACAGACCCUGGGGAUGAAAGGAAAACUUCAGCACCCAUCAGAUAAGUUUCUCAAAGAAGAAGUCAAUGAAGAGGUAUAAGAUGAAUGCUCUGGACUAAUUGGAUAAAAUAAAAUAUGUGCAACAGCAUGCUUCUCCAGUGUCUUAAAAGACUAUGACUUCGAGAAGAACUCCAUCCCAGGACUGUGGCUGUUGAAAGUUCCACCAUUACACUUACGUACUAAGCACGAAGAAAAUAAUUUCUACAAGGAGAUUUGUGAUUUUAGU